UUAAAGUGUUUAUUAUCUAAAAUAGUGACCGUGUUGUUAAAGAAUCCGGUUUUCACUUUCUUUGCGUUCGUGGUAGUUUUUUUGAAAAACGUCAUUAAACUUUUAAAAGAAUAUUAAAGAAACAAAAAAUGCCAGAAGAAGUACCUCAUUUUAUACCACCCGAAAUACAAAAUAAUCCUACGGGUUGGGGACCAUGUGAAAUGCCCGAUCAGUUUAAGGAUAUGCCUUAUCAGCCUUUCUCUAAAGGCGACCGCAUUGGAAAAAUAUCUGAUUGGACAGGAUUAUCCCAAGAUAAAAAAUAUUUGAACAAAUAUCAAUCACAAUUUGGAGGUGGUACUCAAUAUGCUUACUAUCAUGAAGAAGAUGAAAAUACUUUUCAUUUGGUCGAUACUGCACGUGUUCAAAAACCGCCAUAUCAAAGAGGUCGUCAUUUUCGACAAGGAGGUCGUCUGUUGCGCGGCCAAAGUGGUCGUGGCGGAUUAUCUCGUUUACCUGGUGGUUCUAAUCAAUUCCAAUCACUUGGAAAGUUAAAUAAAUUACAAAGAGACCGUAAAAACCCUAAUGCUCGUAGAGGAUGGAAUAAACAGCAAGGUGGAAGAUCUAAUAAAAAUAAUAUGCAAAUGAAAAGUCGUGAUGCUUCAGUCACUGUCCGUGCUGAUUGGAAUACAAUUGAAGAGAUGGACUUUGUUAGAUUUUCAAAAUUAUCAUUACCGUCUAUUAAAGAACCAGAAGAUCUAGUAUGCUGUGGUUCCUUGGAAUAUUAUGAUAAAACAUAUGAUAGAAUUAAUGUGAAAAAUGAAAAACCAUUGCAACGUGUAGAUAGACUCUUUCACACUGUUACUACUACUGAUGAUCCCGUUAUAAGAAAACUGGUAAAAACUGUUGGAAAUGUUUAUGCUACUGAUGCUAUAUUGGCAUGUCUUAUGUGUUGCACUCGAUCUAACUACAGUUGGGAUAUUGUUAUUGAAAAAGUUGGUGAUAAAUUGUUUUUUGAUAAAAGAGAUAAUACCGAAUUUGAUUUACUUACUGUCAAUGAGACAGCAGUUGAGCCACCAACUGAAGAUGCAAAUAGUUUAAAUUCACCCAGAAACUUAGCAUUAGAAGCUACAUUUAUUAAUCAUAACUUUUCACAACAAGUGCUGAAAACAGGAGAAUCACGUUAUAAAUUUGAUGAACCCAAUCCUUUUGUAUCUGAUGAUGAGACUGAAGGAGAAAUAGCAUCAGUUGCAUACAGAUAUCGCAAAUGGAAUUUAGACAAUGGAAUCGUACUUGUAGCUAGAUGUGAACAUGAUGCUGUAUUACAAACACCUAAUGGAGAACUACAAUUUUUAACUAUAAAAGCUUUAAAUGAAUGGGACUCAAAACUAUCAGGAGGUGUAGAUUGGCGUCAUAAGUUAGAUGUACAACGUGGGGGUGUUUUAGCUACAGAAUUGCGUAAUAAUGCUUGUAAGCUUGCUAAAUGGACUGUGCAAGCCUUGCUAGCUGGCUCAGACUACAUUAAAUUUGGUUAUGUAAGUCGUGUUCAAGUCAGAGAUUCAUCUAAACAUGUGAUACUGGGUACCCAACAAUAUAAACCAACUGAAUUUGCCACUCAAAUCAAUCUUAAUAUGGAUAAUGCUUGGGGAAUAUUAAGAUGUAUUAUAGAUUUAUGUAUGAAACAAAAAGAUGGCAAAUAUCUAAUUAUGAAGGAUCCAAAUAAGCCACUCAUUCGUUUGUAUGAUAUUCCUGAUAACACUUUUGAUUCAGACAAUGAAGAAAAUGAAGAUGAAGAUGCUGUUUCCGAAUCCUAAAAGUAAUGAUUAAUGUUAAAUAUAUAUCAGUUAAAACUAGUAGAAUUCAAAACUAGAAAAAUUCAAUUCAGUGAGAUCAAAUCAACAAUACCAGCUGAUCUUCUUACACCAACAAAUCCAUAGAACUAAUUAUUUAAAAAUAUAAAUAAACAAAUAAAUAAUUAUAUGUGCUUUAGCCUUAAAAUAUUGUAUUCUUUAUAUUAUUUCAAAAAGAGUAUAAAUUGUGUUUUAUAAAUUUAAAUAAAUUCAAAAUAAUAGUUGAAUUUAUGUAUUAUCUUGUAUUUGAUAUUUAACUUGAUAUUUUUAAUAAAUUAUCAGUUAUGAACUCUUA